CAAGUCGAACGGAGUGCUUCGGCACUUAGUGGCGGACGGGUGAGUAACGCGUGAGAAUCUGCCUUCAGGUCUGGGACAACAGCUGGAAACGGCUGCUAAUACCGGAUGUGCCUUAGGGUGAAAGCUUUAUGUGCCUGAAGAUGAGCUCGCGUCUGAUUAGCUAGUUGGUGGGGUAAGAGCUCACCAAGGCGACGAUCAGUAGCUGGUCUGAGAGGAUGAUCAGCCACACUGGGACUGAGACACGGCCCAGACUCCUACGGGAGGCAGCAGUGGGGAAUUUUCCGCAAUGGGCGCAAGCCUGACGGAGCAAUACCGCGUGCGGGAGGACGGUCUUUGGAUUGUAAACCGCUUUUAUUAGGGAAGAAGCUCUGACGGUACCUAAUGAAUCAGCAUCGGCUAACUCCGUGCCAGCAGCCGCGGUAAUACGGAGGAUGCAAGCGUUAUCCGGAAUUAUUGGGCGUAAAGCGUCCGCAGGUGGUUGGGCAAGUCUGCUGUCAAAGCGCGGAGCUUAACUCCGUACAGGCGGUGGAAACUGCACGACUGGAGUGCGGUAGGGGUAGAGGGAAUUCCCAGUGUAGCGGUGAAAUGCGUAGAUAUUGGGAAGAACACCAGCGGCGAAAGCGCUCUACUGGGCCGCAACUGACACUCAUGGACGAAAGCUAGGGGAGCGAAAGGGAUUAGAUACCCCUGUAGUCCUAGCUGUAAACGAUGGAUACUAGGUGUUGCCCCUAUCGACCCGGGCAGUGCCGUAGCUAACGCGUUAAGUAUCCCGCCUGGGGAGUACGCACGCAAGUGUGAAACUCAAAGGAAUUGAC
rnacentral:rRNA from 1 species